rnacentral:tRNA from 1 species
GGUGGCUCAGUGGUUGAGCGCUUGCCUUGCAUGUAUGAGGCUCUGGGUUCGAUUCCUCAGCACCA